rnacentral:lncRNA from 12 species
CCCGAGGGCCCUUCCCUCCUGGGCCUCCUGCAGUCCUCGCCGCAGCCCGGCGCCCGGGGCGGGGGUGGCCACGGAGGGUGGGGGGGGCAGCCGAGGCCCAGAGCGGCCACCUGGCUUCCCCGAGGUCACGCGGCCGGUCACCGCAGAGCCGGAGCCCAGCCCGGCCGAGCGCCCCCCUGGCUUCCCUCCUGCUGCCCUGGCCCAGGGCCCUGCGGACACCCCGACCCCAGCCUGUGCUCUGGGGCCAGCGGCUCCCCCCACCUCACUGCCUACCCACCCCGCCCCCAGGGCUUAGCUCGGAGACGCCGCUGACCCUAAGCCCCCUGCCCAGCCUCACCCCUGAGCCCAGACCCUUUGCUCCCGCUGCCAACGGCGUGGGGUCAGGGACACACAGAAUGUCGGGGCUGGCAGGGGCCCCAGGAAGUCUGGCCCGUCCCCCUGGGGGUGCAGGUGGGGGCAGUGGUCCCUCCCUGGCCGUGCUGUGCGCCUCCCCUCCAUCCCAGAAGCCCCCAGGGCCUGACCGGGGCUCUGCCCUUCUCCCUGCAUCUCUCCUCUGCUUCCUGCCUCACUUCCCAGAGCAGAUGCUGCAAAAUCCAGAUUCUACCUCCCUAUGGCUCAGUAAAGAGGACACAGUCCUGUUGGCAGGACUGCACCGGCUCCAUGCCAGGGCACCAGGCACAGAUGCAGUGGCCACCUGAGCUCCGCCUGAAUGACCAGACAGCUACAGGUUCCAGGGCCAAUCCUGUCCCAGCUGAGAGGGUUUAAGGAGUUUCGAGCAUUUUUCCAAAAGGACACCAAAAAUGGUCAAUAGGUGAUGCUCAACAGAAGAUGCUCAACAUCAGUUACCAUUGGUGAAGGAAAAGAAAAUUGAAACCAUGUGAGAUAGCACCUCACACUUGUCAGAAUGGUUAGUAGCAAAAAGAUAAGAAAUAACAAAUGUGUUGGGGAGGACGUGGAGGAAAGGGAGCCCUCGACACUGUUGGUGGGAAUGCAAAUGAGCCCAACCACUAUGGAAAACAAUAUGGAGUUUUCUCAAAAAAAAAAAAAAAAAAAGUAAAAAUAGAUCUACAAUACAUAUGAUCCAGUAAUUCCACUUCUGGGAAUGUACCCAAAGGGAAAGAAAACAGGAAUUCGACGAGAUAUAUGCGCCCCAUGCUUAUUGCAGCAUUAUUCACAAUAGCCGAGAUAUGGAAGCUGCCCAAAUGCCCAUCGGUGGAUGAAUGGCUAAAAAAGAUGUGGUACAUAAGCACAAUGGAAUAUUAAUCAACCAUGAGAAAGGAGACCGUUCGGCCACUUGCGACCAAAUGGAUGGACCUUGCACACAUUAUGCCAAGUGAGAUAAGCCAGACAGGGAAAGACAAGUUGUGAAUGAUAUCACUUAUAUUUGAAACCAAAAAAAAAAAAAAAAAAAAAGAAAGAAAAAAAUCAAACAUAUGAAAACAAGAACAAGAACAGCGAGUGAAAUGGUGGUUCCUCAGGGUUGGGGGUGGGGGUGCAGUGUUGAUGGUGUUUACGGUUACAAAAUUGUAAUGAGUUACUGAAAUACGUAGGUGUUUGAGCACAGCAAUACUGUACUGUAAGUAUGACAUGUGAUAAAAUAUCAUUACGAUGGCAACCAUAUUAUAAUGUAUAAAUGUAUCAAAGUAACAAGAAGUACACCUUAAAUUUAUGUAAUAUCACAUGUCAAAUUUAUCCAAUUAAAAAAAUGCAAACUAAAAAAACCCCCACCUUAUUCAUGUAGAGUCUUUCCUGUCACCUGGAGUAUGAUAUGAGAGUUCUAUAUGUAUUAGCUGACCAAAUGAAGGAGUGAAUUAAUGGAUAACAAAUGAAUAAAACCCAAUUAUUUAAUAAUUAAUUGGGUUUU